rnacentral:snoRNA from 1 species
GUGAUGAAGCUAGGCGCUGCCGAAAGAUGGCGACAGCUCGAGAGGGCUGA